rnacentral:rRNA from 1 species
GACGAACGCUGGCGGCGUGCCUAAUACAUGCAAGUUGAGCGAUGAAGAUUGGUGCUUGCACCAAUUUGAAGAGCAGCGAACGGGUGAGUAACGCGUGGGGAAUCUGCCUUUGAGCGGGAGACAACAUUUGGAAACGAAUGCUAAUACCGCAUAACAACUUUAAACAUAAGUUUUAAGUUUGAAAGAUGCAAUUGCAUCACUCAAAGAUGAUCCCGCGUUGUAUUAGCUAGUUGGUGAGGUAAAGGCUCACCAAGGCGAUGAUACAUAGCCGACCUGAGAGGGUGAGCGGCCACAUUGGGACUGAGACACGGCCCAAACGCCUACGGGAGGCAGCAGUAGGGAAUCUUCGGCAAUGGACGAAAGUCUGACCGAGCAACGCCGCGGGAGUGAAGAAGGUUGUCGGAUCGUAAAACUCUGUUGGUAGAGAAGAACGUUGGUGAGAGUGGAAAGCUCAUCAAGUGACGGUAACUACCCAGAAAGGGACGGCUAACUACGUG